rnacentral:ncRNA from 1 species
UUCCAUUCGGAUUAAAAGGGAAUCGGGUGAAAAUCCCGAACAGUCCCGCUGCUGUAAAACUCCGCUCUACUUUCCGAUAAAGACAAUUGCCACUGGAGGUCAUCCCCUUAAAGGGAGGACACCGGGAAGGUAUCGGAAAUUAAGGAGUCAGUCAGAAGACCUGCCGUUCAUUAA